UACGUAGGCAGCGAGCGUUGUUCGGAGUUACUGGGCGUAAAGGGUGUGUAGGCGGUUGUUUAAGUUUGGUGUGAAAUCUCCCGCUCAACCGGGAGGGUGCGCCGAAUACUGAAUGACUAGAGUGCGGGAGAGGAAAGUGGAAUUCCUGGUGUAGCGUGAAAUGCGUAGAUAUCAGGAGGAACACCGGUGGUGUAGACGGCUUUCUGGACCGUAACUGACGCUGAGACACGAAAGCGUGGGUAGCAAACAGG
rnacentral:rRNA from 1 species